UCCAGGCUUCAUUCUUCCCAUCCCGUGAAAGGCUUGUACCAGAAAGCCCACCAGGUGCUUGAUAUUUUGGUGAUACCACAGAUGGCGGUCUCUAGAAGCUGAUUUUACAUGACCAUAAUGUUUGUUAAGGGAACGGUUAGCAUUCUCUUGCAAAAUUGCAAGCCUCGACUUAAACACAGAUGCUCAGUAAAUGUGAUGGGCCCACAGACAUAGGAAAGGUAGUGACUCCAGGUUCUCAUCCGUAGCGAAAAACAAAAAAAUAGGAGGUCUGACUUGAUGGUGCCUGCCAGUGUGAUCAAAGUCCCUCAUCCUUACCGACAAGCUCGGUGGUCCUUCUCUUCUUACCAUUGCAGAUGAUAGUAGUUGAACCAUGGCUAGUUUUGGUAAAAGUAGUCCUUCUAUUCUGCCUUCUUAUUAGUAUCUUUUGAUAAGUUUUGUCUAUUAUACAUUGUAUAUCCCUCAUGUCCAGUGAAUUGACUUCUAUUGCUAGUUGAUCAAAUCCUCUUCUCUCGGCAACUAAAUACUUCACACCCUAGCUAUAGAGGGGCAGUUUUAGCAGAGGAAAGGCGUUGGUUGGCAUCUUCUGAGGGCAAUUAGGGAACUAAUUUCCUGGAAAGUUCCUCAAAGCAGUUCCACACGACAAAGCAGGGCGGCCUUGGCACCACACCGUGUCUGCAUGCAUUUGUUGGGACGUCCGUAUUGGGGCAAAGAUGCAUGCAUUUGCUGCUUCUCAAACUUAACUGUCUGAUAUCUGUCUCACUGUAACUCAGGUUAGAGCUGUUAAAAGGGACUGUGCCAUCCAUGGAGGGCCCGUCCUAACACGAAAUUGGUCGUGUGCCUUAGGAACAACCCAGGCCACAGGCCCCAGUACAACCUGAUGGCUUGAUAAAUAAAAAUUAUAUUCUGAAAAUUUUAUAAUUAUAAAUUAUGUAUGGAGAUAUAUAAUUUAGCAUAUAUAUUGUUUUAGUAUGUUAUUGAGUAAUUUUACACAUUAUAUUUUGUAAGUAAGAUUAUAUUAUUCGAGAUUUA